UCCGUACCGCGCUCGUCCCCGGUCCGUGAAAACGUCACUUUGCUGUGAGUCUCUCGCUGAACCUUUUUGGGGUAACGACAGCAGAAGGGGCACCUCAUCAGUGUGGCAUCUCGGAAGGGAAGGCACUCGUGUGUCGCCGAACAUACAGCGUCAGGAUGGAGGUGUCAAGGAGGUGGAUCUUACAGAAGCAUCUGCAGCCAGCCAGACCACUGCGGCGCUGCAGUACUGACCAGGUCCUUGAGGGGAAUUGAGCGAGUGAGUGCACACUUCAGAGAGAAGGGUAGAGAAUCAGACUGCAGCCAGUGUCACACUUUCUCUUUAUACAGACCCCUGCUUUAGAAAUGCUGAGACAUCUGCGUGUGGACAAGCAGGAGACAAACCAAUGAACUGUAUUGGAGUGGAACAGUUUUUUGAAAUCCUCCAUCUCCAAACUCAGACUCCACCAAAAGACUCCACCCCAACUAAAGUGAGGAUAUCUUACACUAGAGACUUCCUGAUUCAACUGGCCAGUUCCCCCAUUGCCAAAAGAAAACCGGACUUCUUACCAGAACACCCCGUUGUUUUGGAAAAGGCGAGAGAACCUGGUGUGCCAAGGUUGGAGAAGAGGUUUGAUGAAAACUAUUAAAUGCUAACAUGGAGCGAGUGCUGCUGCUGCUUUUGAACCCACACCACUACAACUUGCUCUGCCAUCGAGUGAUAUACCACCCCCCCCAAAAAAAACAUCCCCAGUUGAGUCCAGAACACCACCGGCAUGAGCUGCGUCCCAAAUAGCACCCUAUUUCUUAUUUGUGCACUACUUUUGACCAGGGUCAAUAGGGUUCAUUUCAUAAAUGGGGAUGACCAUUAGGGAUGUAGCGUGGGGUAUAAAAAAAUGUUGGUUCCUUUGACAAAUGUUGGUUCCUUUUGGUGGACACAAACCUGAAAAUGUACCGUAGCCUACAUGUUUAACUUGUGUGCUUCAAUCUAAAAUAAUAAUGAAUGCUUGAAUGAUGUGCCUUGAUGCUAACAAAUGCCCCUUGCACUGUGUGGUGUUUACAUAUUACAUAAUACUAAUAACGCCACAGUGGAGGCCAUUGGCUCUGAGUAAAAUUACAACGACCUCCAAGAUAAACACUACAUCCAUUUAACCCUUACAACGACCUCCAAGACCAACACUACAUUCAUUUAACCCUUACGACCUCCAAGACCAACACUACAUUCAUUUAACCCUUACAACGACCUCCAAGACCAACACUACAUUCAUUUAACCCUUACAACGACCUCCAAGACCAACACUACAUUCAUUUAACCCUUACAACGACCUCCAAGACCAACACUACAUUAAUUUAACCCUUACAAUGACCUCCAAGACCAACACUACAUUCAUUUAACCCUUACAACGACCUCCAAGACCAACACUACAUUCAUUUAACCCUUACAACGACCUCCAAGACCAACACUACAUUCAUUUAACCCUUACAACGACCUCCAAGACAAACACUACAUUCAUUUAACCCUUUCACGUUUUAAUAUGUUGGAGGAUGGGUGUUUUAGCUUUGAUAUUGUCACUGAGAAUGUUGUCACUGAAGCUUGAUUAUUGACUUAUAUCAAGCAAUUGAAUGUUGAAAUAUAGGCUACUGCCUGCUGCAUAACUUGUCGGUAUUCCCCCAUUGAAAACUGCUGCUUGAAAUGAUUUGGCUUCUAAGCCUGCCUUUGCACACUAUCCUUCUGCGGGUCAGUCCUGUAGUCACAUCAAAUGGUACAUCUCUCCCCUACUUCUCUGAAGGUCAGUCCUGUAGUCACAUCAAAUGGUACAUCUCUCCCCUACUUCUCUGAAGGUCAGUCCUGUAGUCACAUCAAAUGGUACAUCUCUCCCCUACUUCUCUGAAGGUCAGUCCUGUAGUCACAUCAAAUGGUACAUCUCUCCCCUACUGCACAUGGUGCUGUUUUCUCAGUUUAUUCUAUUGUAUUUGAUGAAAGUGAAUAACGGCAGUCUAAAUUAGCACAAAGUUUAGCGAAACCCGUCGCCUUGACUUGCCUGUUCGCAUAAGGGGACCUUUAUUAUGCAACUUGUGUUCGGAGACCGUUGUGGAGUGGGAAAAUUGAGUGGCCGUUUAUUUUUGAAGUGUAUUUAUUUGGUUUAUCCUUAUUUGGUUAUAAGCUAUUUGCCUAUCGAUGCUGAGUUUUGAUGGCGAGGCUUCAUUCCAAGAUUUUGGCUGUUGAUACAAGGCUGAGAGGACUUUCCUAUGUUAAUGUAAAGGGACAGUGCCAAAGUGUAACCAUGUAUUUUCAGAGAUGCAGUAGGUUAAAUAAGGUUAUAGUGUGUGUGUUACCCCCAUUGAUUUUGACUUUCAAGCUGCACAUUGUGAAGGUAGCAUAUUUAAUUUGAUGUGUACUAUGGUCAGUCAUGUGCACAUCCUCUCCUUGCUCCAAGACUUAUGAGCUGAUCUGGGAUCUGCCGUAAUAGCCCUGUACAUUUCUGUGCUCUUAUAAAAAAAAAAAGUAUUUGUAUGACAAAUGUUGUCUUGUGAAGUGUCAUUUUACACCAAAAGCAGCUCCAAUGCUGCCUAUACCUCAAAUUCUAACCCUGGAUUAUCAAAAUCUGUAACAAUUAAAACCUCGACAUGUAAUCCAAACUAAUUUUUUUUGUCUACAUAUAAGACUAAAACAGCAAUGUUGGUCACACUGCGGAAACGAGAAACCAGAGACGAUAACCAUUCUAGUGGUCAUUCACUGGUGUGAAAACUGCGCCAGUGCUGCACACAGGUCCUGUGUAACAUCUCCCCUACUGGCAUUUUGAUGUUCAUGAGUUACGUCUACAGUGAGUGCAGUUACAUGCACACAAUACGAUUAUUGUGGAUAGUCAGAUUAAUAUAAUAGUUCGUUUUAAAACGUGUACAUGUUUUGCAAGAACGAUUUUCCUAAUCCUGUUUACAUGUACGCAUCUGACAUCAGGCUACCUGAUGGGACUUAAAUAAAUGCAGAAAAUUGCCAAUAAACAUA